rnacentral:misc_RNA from 1 species
GAAACUAAGUAGUAAGGACAAAAAUUGGGAAGUAGAAGAUAAGAGCAAGAGAAAAUAAAGAUAAGAAAGUUAUUCUCAAAAAAAUGAAAAGGACAGGCAAAAAGAAAGAGAAGGAAUGAUAAUGGAAGAAAAUUUUUAAAAUUACAGUUUUGACCAUAGUUUUUGGAUAAGAAUUUGUUAUUACAUGGUAAAUGAGCAAUUUUGAAAGUCUCCACCCCCUUUCCUCUCUGAUUUGGAAGAAAG